rnacentral:rRNA from 1 species
UACGUAGGGGGCAAGCGUUGUCCGGAUUUAUUGGGCGUAAAGAGCGUGUAGGCGGCUAGAUAGGUCCGUUGUGAAACCUCCAGGCUCAACCUGGAGACGCCACUCGAUACUGCCAUGGCUAGAGUCCGGUAGGGGACCACGGAAUUCCUGGUGUAGCGGUGAAAUGCGCAGAUAUCAGGAGGAACACCGGUGGCGAAGGCGGUGGUCUGGGCCGGCACUGACGCUGAGGAGCGAAAGCGUGGGUAGCAAACAGG